GUCUCGGUAGUGUAGUGGUUAGCACACUAGCCUGUCACGCUGGUAACCCGGGUUCGAAUCCCGGCCGAGGCGCCA
rnacentral:tRNA from 1 species